CAUGGAUAACCGUGGUAAUUCUACAGCUAAUACAUGAGCAAAAUCUCAACUUUAUUAGAAGAGACGCAUUUAUUAGAUAAAAAGCCAAUGCAUGCUUUUACAGUAUGAAAAUUGGUGAUUUAUAAUAACUUAGCAAAUCGCAAAGUGAAAACAGGCGAUAAAUCAUUCAAGUUUCUGACCUAUCAGCUUUCGACGGUAUGGUAUUGGCUUACCGUGGCAGUGACGGUUAACGGGGGAUUAGGGUUCGAUUCCGGAGAGGGAGCCUGAGAAACGGCUACCACAUCUAAGGAAGGCAGCAGGCGCGCAAAUUACCCAAUUCUAACAGUUUGAGAGAGGUAGUAACAAGAAAUAACAAUACAAGGCAGUUAAAAUGCUUUGUAAUUGGAAUGAUAGAAAUUUAAACCCUUUUUAAAGUAUCAAUUGGAGGGCAAGUCUGGUGCCAGCAGCCGCGGUAAUUCCAGCUCCAAUAGCGUAUAUUAAAAUUGUUGCAGUUAAAAAGCUCGUAGUUGAAGUUCUGCUAAAAGUAACCGGUCUGCUUUUAAUAAAAGUGGUAUCUUGGUAUGUAUUUAGCAAUGAUGUCCUUUGAAGUGUUUUUUACUUUAUUGUAAUAAAGCAUAUUCAGGACUUUUA
rnacentral:rRNA from 1 species